rnacentral:rRNA from 1 species
CGAACGGGUGAGUAAUACAUCGGAACGUGCCCAGUCGUGGGGGAUAACUACUCGAAAGAGUAGCUAAUACCGCAUACGAUCUGAGGAUGAAAGCGGGGGACCUUCGGGCCUCGCGCGAUUGGAGCGGCCGAUGGCAGAUUAGGUAGUUGGUGGGAUAAAAGCUUACCAAGCCGACGAUCUGUAGCUGGUCUGAGAGGACGACCAGCCACACUGGGACUGAGACACGGCCCAGACUCCUACGGGAGGCAGCAGA